rnacentral:rRNA from 1 species
UCGAGCGGCGGACGGGUGAGUAAUACUUAGGAAUCUACCUAGUAGUGGGGGAUAGCACGGGGAAACUCGUAUUAAUACCGCAUACGACCUACGGGAGAAAGGGGGCAGUUUACUGCUCUCGCUAUUAGAUGAGCCUAAGUCGGAUUAGCUAGAUGGUGGGGUAAAGGCCUACCAUGGCGACGAUCUGUAGCUGGUCUGAGAGGAUGAUCAGCCACACCGGGACUGAGACACGGCCCGGACUCCUACGGGAGGCAGCAGUGGGGAAUAUUGGACAAUGGGGGAAACCCUGAUCCAGCCAUGCCGCGUGUGUGAAGAAGGCCUUUUGGUUGUAAAGCACUUUAAGCAGUGAAGAAGACUCUUCGGUUAAUACCCGGAGACGAUGACAUUAGCUGCAGAAUAAGCACCGGCUAACUCUGUGCCAGCAGCCGCGGUAAUACAGAGGGUGCAAGCGUUAAUCGGAAUUACUGGGCGUAAAGCGAGCGUAGGUGGCUUGAUAAGUCAGAUGUGAAAUCCCCGGGCUUAACCUGGGAACUGCAUCUGAAACUGUUAGGCUAGAGUAGGUGAGAGGGAAGUAGAAUUUCAGGUGUACCGGUGAAAUGCGUAGAGAUCUGAAGGAAUACCGAUGGCGAAGGCAGCUUCCUGGCAUCAUACUGACACUGAAGGCUCGAAAGCGUGGGUAGCAAACAGGAUUA